rnacentral:rRNA from 1 species
UCCGGCGGUGCAGGAUGAGCCCGCGGCCUAUCAGCUUGUUGGUGAGGUAAUGGCUCACCAAGGCGACGACGGGUAGCCGGCCUGAGAGGGCGACCGGCCACACUGGGACUGAGACACGGCCCAGACUCCUACGGGAGGCAGCAGUGGGGAAUAUUGCACAAUGGGCGAAAGCCUGAUGCAGCGACGCCGCGUGAGGGAUGACGGCCUUCGGGUUGUAAACCUCUUUCAGCAAGGAAGAAGCGAAAGUGACGGUACCUGCAGAAAAAGCGCCGGCUAACUACGUGCCAGCAGCCGCGGUAAUACGUAGGGCGCGAGCGUUGUCCGGAAUUAUUGGGCGUAUAGAGC